rnacentral:lncRNA from 1 species
GCACCAUUUAGCUAGUAAGAAAAUAGCUGUAGCAUUACACAACAUUCACUAGAACGGAAAAUGAUCUCCAUGGCCAACGAAUCCAGAAUUAUCAUCGCAUCAAUUUAUUGGAUUUGAUUCUCAACAGGACUGGAGUUUCCGGCUAAACAUAAUUUUUAGACAUUUUUUGCACAUUAAAAAAUUUCAUAUUUGUCAUAUAAUCUAUAGGAGCAAAUCAAGCAGACGAUUUGAGAGAUAUGGCUCACAACGAUGAGCAAAUAGACCACUAAUCAAAGUAGGAGCGGCUCAAUGCAAUUGGGGACUUAAGGCGAACUCAAAGGCUCCAACAUAAAUGUAUUUAGGGCCUCAAUGCAUAAAUAAAGAAAGAGAUAAUAAAUUUCCUUAAGUAAAGAUACUCCUCAGUACAAUUAUAGCUACAAAGAUACGUAGUAUUUGAGGCUUCCAAAUACUUUUGGGGUCUCAAUGCAUUUGAACACUUACCUUGGAAUUCACUAUAAUAAAUGCAUUUGGGGGCCAGAGUCUUAGACGACCGCCUAGUCGCCUAAAGAUUGAGCCGGCUCUGAAUU